rnacentral:rRNA from 1 species
CGGUACAUUUCUAGCUUGCUAGAAGAUGACGAGCGGCGGACGGGUGAGUAAUGCUUGGGAAUAUGCCUUAUGGUGGGGGACAACAGUUGGAAACGACUGCUAAUACCGCAUAACGUCUACGGACCAAAGGGGGGGAUCUUCGGACCUCCCGCCAUUUGAUUAGCCCAAGUGAGAUUAGCUAGUUGGUAAGGUAAUGGCUUACCAAGGCGACGAUCUCUAGCUGGUUUGAGAGGAUGAUCAGCCACACUGGGACUGAGACACGGCCCAGACUCCUACGGGAGGCAGCAGUGGGGAAUAUUGCACAAUGGGCGAAAGCCUGAUGCAGCCAUGCCGCGUGUGUGAAGAAGGCCUUCGGGUUGUAAAGCACUUUCAGUAAGGAGGAAAGGGUAGUCGUUAAUAGCGGCUAUCUGUGACGUUACUUACAGAAGAAGCACCGGCUAACUUCGUGCCAGCAGCCGCGGUAAUACGAGGGGUGCAAGCGUUAAUCGGAAUUACUGGGCGUAAAGCGUUCGUAGGCGGUUGAAUAAGCAAGAUGUGAAAGCCCAGGGCUCAACCUUGGAACUGCAUUUUGAACUGUUCGACUAGAGUACUGUAGAGGGUGGUGGAAUUUCCAGUGUAGCGGUGAAAUGCGUAGAGAUUGGAAGGGAACAUCAGUGGCGAAAGCGGCCACCUGGACAGAUACUGACGCUGAGGAACGAAAGCGUGGGGAGCGAACAG